AUUGAACGCUGGCGGCAUGCCUUACACAUGCAAGUCGAACGGCCGCACGGGUGCUUGCACCUGGUGGCGAGUGGCGAACGGGUGAGUAAUACAUCGGAACAUGUCCUGUAGUGGGGGAUAGCCCGGCGAAAGCCGGAUUAAUACCGCAUACGAUCUACGGAUGAAAGCGGGGGACCUUCGGGCCUCGCGCUUUAGGGUUGGCCGAUGGCUGAUUAGCUAGUUGGUGGGGUAAAGGCCUACCAAGGCGACGAUCAGUAGCUGGUCUGAGAGGACGACCAGCCACACUGGGACUGAGACACGGCCCAGACUCCUACGGGAGGCAGCAGUGGGGAAUUUUGGACAAUGGGCGAAAGCCUGAUCCAGCAAUGCCGCGUGUGUGAAGAAGGCCUUCGGGUUGUAAAGCACUUUUGUCCGGAAAGAAAUCCUUGGCCCUAAUACGGUCGGGGGAUGACGGUACCGGAAGAAUAAGCACCGGCUAACUACGUG
rnacentral:rRNA from 1 species